GAUUCUAUAAUGUAGUGGUUAGCAUGUCUCCUUUACACACAGAAGAUCCUGGGUUCGUGCCCCAGUGGAGCCA
rnacentral:tRNA from 1 species